rnacentral:lncRNA from 1 species
GGACCCUUGUAGCUUUUCUUGAAUUGAUGCAGUUUAAAUUAUUUGCCCUGGUUAAAUAGAUUCCCUGGGAGUGGGACAGCCAUGUCCCACAAAGGCAGUGAAGAUCUAUGAUAGCAGUAAGAGAGACUAUUCAUAACUGAAUCCCAGACCACUCUUAUGAGUCUUCAAGACUUGCCAGUUGGUUUGAACUCUAGAUUGAAUUUUGAACUGAGAGGAAGUUUAGCUCCCUGAACUGAACCUUCUGAGCCUAGGGGAAGGAGAGUGGGGUUCAUGAUGAGGCCAAAGGGGAUAAUUUGGUGUCUAUGAAGGGCUGAUGAUAUCAGAAGAGUCUGAACAGAGCCUGCUCUACCAGCAACCUUAUACCUGAUUAAUCUGAUAGAGAGUAAAGAGAAAACCCAGAAGAUAUACCUGCUGUUCUCCUUCACACUGCUGGCUCACCCUAACUCCAAUCCCUCCUCUUGGCUUUGAGGCAGCAGAAAGAUAUUGUUUGCUGUUGAGCCCCAGGAAUCUCUCUCUAGGAAUCUCUCAACUGAGAUACUUCAAAGUUCAACCUAGUGGCCAUAGGCUGGGUCCCAACACCCAAGAGAGAAUCCAGAAUGAGGCUUCACAUAUGCUGCUGUGUUCAAAGCAUCCAGUUGGAGAAAUAGAUUUCCUGAAGCAGAGCUGGAGCACCUGGCUCCUUCAUGGGAGAUGAGAGGCACAGAUGCCAGCUUGGUAAGCAACCGGCCCACCUGCUAACCCGCCCAGGGUAGAACUUCUGAUGUUUUCUCUUAGUAGACACUGGGGUUUCUAUUGAGAGAGGUGGGGUAGUCAGCAGUGAUAGAAUGACAGACUUGUCAAUUAACAUUUUAAAGAGAAAGCAAAAGGUCUGAAAGGGAAACUUUGAAAGAUCUUUCCCCCAAGUGAACAAUUUUGAUGUCAAGGAAAUUAAGAGGGCUGGACAAGAAGUUAGGAGACUCAAGCCCUAAUCUAGGGUAUUUCAUAGAUUUGCAAUAUAACCAUAGGCAGUCACUUUAACCUUGGACUUUAGUUUCCUCAUCUGAAAAAUGAGGGGGAAGAAUUCUAUUACCGUUGGCUCUACAAUUCCAUAGGAGCACAGAUUUAGAUAUGGAAGGGACUGAGGUAGUAAUCAACUGAAACCCAGAGAGGAUAAAUAACUUGUCCAGGAUCACAAAGAUAGUAAGUAGAUAUUUUAGGACUUUAAUUCAGUUCUUGU